CCCUUAGAUGUUCUGGGCCGCACGCGUGCUACACUGAGUGGAUCAGCGGGUCAGGUUGCGCGAAAGCGUUUCCUAAUCUUUAAAUCCGCUCGUGAUGGGGAUUGACGGUUGCAAUUUUCUGUCAUGAACGAGGAAUACCUUGUAAGCGCGGGUCAUCAUCCCGCGCUGAAUACGUCCCUGCCCUUUGUACACACCGCCCGUCGCUACUACCGAUUGAAUGGUUUAGUGAGAUCUCCGGAUUGGCUCUGUAGGUCCCGCAAGGGAUUUAUUAGUAGCCAAGAAGCUGCUCAAACUUGAUCAUUUAGAGGAAGUAAAAGUCGUAACA
rnacentral:rRNA from 1 species